UCGAAGAUCAUCCGUUAAUUUUUCUUUCACUUUUCUUCCCCUUCUGGUCUCCAAGCUUCGGCGCUAUGCUGCACUAGGUUGCGAUCGGAGCUCCUUCAACUGCAGCUUACCAGUUGGAAGCGCUAUGUUGGAAGGGAAAUGCGAGCGUUAAGACAACGGGCAAGAGGAUGGUGAGACAGGGGAUGGAGAAACUCCACGCGUAAGGGAUGAAGAAGAAAGGAAGUAAAGGACCGAUACAGCUGUCUCCGCUGAAUCGCAUCGAGCCAACACACGUAACAAAGCAUCCUUUCCAGCUGGUGGGAUGCAUUUGGAGCAUUCUAAAAAUUUGCUACACCUUUUGUAAAUUUCGGCGAAAAUUGAACAGAAAACAUCCAUUCCAAUCAAAAGAAAAGUAAAGUUGAUUUUGCUUCAAUCGAGUUCAAAUGAGUGGACAACGCUUCAAGUAAGCAUUUCCUGGAGGAUUUUUUUGAAGUUUUACUUCCUAGAGUAUAUACAAAUUGUAGGCGUUGUGUCCGCGGAAAGGGGAGAAGUUAUGCGAGCAGUAGUGUGAAAGUUUUCACGGAUUACUUUUAUUUUGCUCCCUUGUAUCGUUCGAUUUUCCGGAAUAAAUCAA